GAUGAACGCUGGCGGCGUGCCUAAUACAUGCAAGUCGAGCGAAUGGAUUAAGAGCUUGCUCUUAUGAAGUUAGCGGCGGACGGGUGAGUAACACGUGGGUAACCUGCCCAUAAGACUGGGAUAACUCCGGGAAACCGGGGCUAAUACCGGAUAACAUUUUGAACCGCAUGGUUCGAAAUUGAAAGGCGGAUUCGGCUGUCACCUAUGGAUGGACCCGGGUCGCAUUAGCUAGUUGGUGAGGUAACGGCUAACCAAGGAAACGAUGCGUAGCCGGCCUGAGAGGGUGAUCGGCCACACUGGGACUGAGACACGGCCCAGACUCCUACGGGAGGCAGCAGUAGGGAAUCUUCCGCAAUGGACGAAAGUCUGACGGAGCAACGCCACGUGAGUGAUGAAGGCUUUCGGGUCGUAAAACUCUGUUGUUAGGGAAGAACAAGUGCUAGUUGAAUAAGCUGGCACCUUGACGGUACCUAACCAGAAAGCCACGGCUAACUACGUGCCAGCCGCCGCGGUAA
rnacentral:rRNA from 1 species